UGGGGAAUAUUGCACAAUGGGCGAAAGCCUGAUGCAGCAACGCCGCGUGAGUGAUGAAGGUCUUCGGAUUGUAAAGCUCUGUCUUUUGGGACGAUAAUGACGGUACCAAAGGAGGAGGCCACGGCUAACUACGUGCCAGCAGCCGCGGUAAUACGUAGGUGGCGAGCGUUGUCCGGAUUUACUGGGCGUAAAGGGUGCGUAGGCGGAUGUUUAAGUGAGAUGUGAAAUACCCGGGCUUAACUUGGGUGCUGCAUUUCAAACUGGAUAUCUAGAGUGCAGGAGAGGAGAAUGGAAUUCCUAGUGUAGCGGUGAAAUGCGUAGAGAUUAGGAAGAACACCAGUGGCGAAGGCGAUUCUCUGGACUGUAACUGACGCUGAGGCACGAAAGCGUGGGUAGCAAACAGGAUUAGAUACC
rnacentral:rRNA from 1 species